rnacentral:rRNA from 1 species
UACGAAGGGGGCUAGCGUUGCUCGGAAUCACUGGGCGUAAAGCGCACGUAGGCGGCUUGCUAAGUCAGGGGUGAAAUCCUGGAGCUCAACUCCAGAACUGCCUUUGAUACUGGUGAUCUUGAGUCCGGGAGAGGUUAGUGGAACUGCGAGUGUAGAGGUGAAAUUCGUAGAUAUUCGCAAGAACACCAGUGGCGAAGGCGGCUCACUGGCCCGGUACUGACGCUGAGGUGCGAAAGCGUGGGGAGCAAACAGG